AGUGAACGCUGGCGGCGUGCCUAACACAUGCAAGUCGAACGAUGAUGACUGAGCUUGCUCAGUCUGAUUAGUGGCGCACGGGUGAGUAACGCAUAGGUAAUGUGCCCCUUAGAGAGGGAUAGCCACUGGAAACGGUGAUUAAUACCUCAUACUCCUUCUUGUCAUAAGGCGAGUCGGGAAAUGUUUUUCGCUAAGGGAUCAGCCUAUGUCCUAUCAGCUAGUUGGUGAGGUAACGGCUCACCAAGGCUAUGACGGGUAUCUGGUUUGAGAGGAUGAUCAGACACACUGGAACUGAGACACGGUCCAGACUCCUACGGGAGGCAGCAGUGAGGAAUAUUGCACAAUGGAGGAAACUCUGAUGCAGCAACGCCGCGUGGAGGAUGACGCAUUUCGGUGUGUAAACUCCUUUUAAGAGGGAAGAUUAUGACGGUACCUCUUGAAUAAGCACCGGCUAACUCCGUGCCAGCCGCCGCCGUAA
rnacentral:rRNA from 1 species